rnacentral:lncRNA from 1 species
AGGGGUCGGCGCGCGACCGGGUCAUGCAGGUGCAGACUGGCCGGUCGCUUCCCGCCCUCCAGCCACCCGCAGCUCCCCGGCAGGCGAAGGGCGGCCGCGCGGGUGUGGGCCGAGAGAGGGAGGCGGCUCGGCUGGAGCGCGCCGUCCGCCCGACCCCCGCCGCCUCUCGGGCGCCUGCGCUCACGCUGCGGGGCCCAGCGCAUUGUGAGCCGGGUCGAGCUCCACGCUGGCAGCGUCUGAGAGCUGUCCUGGGCCGGAGGUGGCGCGAACCCUGUGCGGCCUAGAGUGGGCCUGGGGAAGCCAGCUGCCAUGUUCUGAGUACUCUCUGGAAGGGCCUGCAUGGCAAGGAACUGAUGUUUCCAGCCAGCAGCCAGCAAGAACUGCAAGCCUUGUGAAUGAGCUUGGAAGCAGAUCCUCCCCUCACUCAAGCCAUGAUAUGACAACAGCCUGAGACCCAGAGUUUUAUGGAUACUUCAAAAAUCAAGAAAGAAUAAGAAGAUAGUAAAGAAUGUUCCUCUCAGCCACCCUGCAUCCAUCCAUUUCCCACCCCAACCUGCAAAAGGUAACCACUGGAUGGGCCCGGUGGCUCACACCUGUAAUCCCAGCAUCUUGGGAGGCCAAGGUGAGCAGAUCACUUGAGCCCAGGAGUUCAAGACCAGCCUAGGUAACAUGGGGAAACCCCAUCUCUACAAAAACACCAAAAUUAGCUGGACGUGGUGGCGCAUGCCUGUAGUCUCAGCUACUCGGGAGGCCGUGGUGGGCGGAUCUGUUACUAGUCUCUUAUGUAUCCUUCCAGGGAUUUUUGUAAACCUAUAGUCAAGCAAAUAUGAUUUUACGUUCUUCCUUUCCCCCUUUUAUUUCCAUUCUUUCUUGGGGACAGGGGUCCUUCUUAGGAUAAAGUUAGGAAGCCCCAGGGGAACUCAUUCAGACCUAAGGAGUCAGUCCUAGUUGCCGUUGUCUAUUAGUAAGCCCUUUUCCUCUGCAAUACCUUACAGUCUAAGGGCCCCAAACAAAAAGCCUUCCAGUGGGGCAAGGCCUGAUUGCCUUAGGAGGCCCCACAAUGGCCGAGGCCUCCAUCUAUCCCUGGACCUACUGAAGUAACUGAGGCACCCAUGCUGGCCUGCACCAGACAGUGUGUGUGAGACCCUUGAACACAGUGGAAAUGCAGGCAUCACUGAGGCACCCAGCCUCAGGCUGAGGACAGAGUGCCUGUGCUGUAAUUAGAUGUGACUCCUCCACAGCCAAGAGGGCCUACACUCUCAGUGACGAUUCUUCCAUGACAUUCAGGCACUUUCCCCAGGUACAGCCAUGGCAGAAGAUGGCUGGGCACAAGGGACCAGCUGCACGCUGCUCCUGGAGUCAGCUCUCCAGGACAGGCCUCAACCUUGGGCCUCUUCAGAAGCACUGCUCCUAUUUCUUGCCAGCCGAUCUCAGCCCAAGCCACCCAAGUCUGCACCCCCCUGAGUACAGUGGAGAUAUUACAUUAACUUUGAAAUAAAAGGAGAGACUCUAGGUCUCACUGCUCCCUUCCAGAAGCUUCUUUUGCCUCUUGCAAACAUGGGUGGCUUUGGGAGGAGUGCCAGCACACUUCAUAUACCAGAAGCACCUCAGCCCUGAGGUCUUGGGGACAUAGAUAGGUUCUUCAUCUCACGUGAUGGGGACUGAGCUCUUUUUGGUGGGUAAAGUGGAUUGAAAUAAAGGAGGAGGGCUGACAGGAAUUUGAGACUAGCCUGGGCAACAAAGCAAGACCGCAUCUCUACAAAAAAUAAAAUAAGGUUGGGUGUGGUGGCUCAUGCCUGUAAUCCCACCACUUUGGGAGGCCAAGGCAGGAGGAUUGCUUGAGCCCAGGAGUUCAAGACUAGCCUGAGCAACAUGGCAAUACCCCAUCUCUACAAAAAAUACAAAAAUUAGCCGGGCAUGGUGGCGCGUGCCUGUAGUCUUAGCUACUCAGGAGACUGAGGCAGGAGGAUCACCUGGACCUGGGAGGUCCAGGUUGCAGUGAGUAAAAGAAAAGAAAACUGAGACCCAUGGAGGUUAAGUAACUUACUUUUAAUCACUGUUACUUAUUUUUUUCUCUUUUUUUGAGAUGGAGUCUCACUCUGUCGCCAGGCUGGAAUGCAGUGGCGCGAUCUCUGCUCACUGCAACCUCAGCCUCCUGGGUUCCAGCGAUUCUCCUGCCUUAGCUUCCCAAGUAGCUGGGACUACAGGCGUGCACCACCAAACCCAGCUAUUUUUUGUAUUCUUAGUAGAGACGGGGUUUCACCAUGUUGGCCAGCAUGGUCUCAAUCUCUUGACCUCGUGAUCUGCCCGCCUUGGCCUCCCAAAGUGCUGGGAUUACAGGCAUGAGCCACUGUGCCCAGCCCAAUCACUGUUACUUUUAAGGAAAUCCAUUUGACUACUAAGGCAUAAUGUCACAGUGGCUUAGACAAAAUAGGAGUUUCUCUCUCAUGUUAGUCUCAUCAUGAGCAGUCCAGGGCUGAUAAGACAGCUGAGUCUUGUUGGGGACCCAGGUUUCUUCUUUCUUGUUGCUCUGCCUUCUCUAGGGAAUACCCUAUUCCACCUUGUCAAAGAUGGAGCAAUGCCACCUCUGCAUUCCAAUGGAAGAAAUGGGAGGAAGUGGAAGACACAACCUUCCCUUUUAAGGGCAUAACCUGGAAGUUGGGCUCAUAUUUCAAUGGCCAGAAUGUGGUCCAAUGGCCAUACCCAGUUGCAAAAGAAUCUGGGAAAUGUAGUCUGACUGGAAGGUGACUCAUACAGCUAAAAUUCAGGGAAGAAGGCGAGAAUGGAUAAUGGAAAACAAAUAGGAAUCUCUGUCACAGUCAGAAGUCGAACUGGGAUUCAAACCCAACAGUUUGACUUCAAAGCCAGAACUCUUAACCAUAAUCUUCAUUAUGCUGUUGUUUUAGAAGAAUUAAAUGAGGUCCACAGUUGGUAAGGUCUUUCUCUACAGUUUGAGACUUCAUUAACACAUGUAUGCACAUACAUUUUUGCUAAAUGGAUAGAUUAUAGCUGCUCUUGCCAUAAUAUUAUAACGCUUACUGUGAAAGUUGUUCAACAUUGAUGGGGAAUCAAGUAAUGUUUCCUUUUUUUUUCUUUUUUUGUUUUUUUGCCUUGAGACAGGUUUUUACUCUAUCACCUAGGCUGGAGUGCAGUGGUGCAAUCUUGGCUCAUUGCAGCCUUGACCUGCUGGGCUCAAGGGAUCCUCCCACCCCAGCCUCCCAAGUAGUUGGGACUACAGGUGUACGCCACUUGUAGUCAAAAAAUAAAAAUCAAUUUUUAAAAACUGAUUUGUAGAGGCAGGGUCUCUCACUAUGUUGCCCAGGCUGGUCUCAAACUCCUGGGCUCAGGUGAUCCUCCUGCUUCCCUUCCCAAAAUGCUAAGAAUACAGACAUAAGCCACUGCCUUUUAUCCUCUUCUCAUAGACUUUCCAUUUUUAGUAUUUUUUUGUGAGUCUUUCUUCUUUUUCUUCUCUUUAUUCUCCUCUCCCUCCUUUUCAUGCCUCAUACUUUAUGAUGCUUGGUAUAUGAGGCCAUCAUCAGUUUUAUAAUUUUUUUCUGCAUCGGAUUGUAGGAUUGGGCUUGGAAAUAACUGCCCCACCAAUGAACUUUCUAACCUUUCACAAGCAAGUGGGGCAAACCAGGGUAACUUCUUUUUUUUUUUUUUUUUUUUUUUUUUGACACAGUCUCGCCUUGUUGCCCAGGCUGGAGUGCAGUGGUGUGACCUCGGCUCACUGCAACCCCUGCCUCCAGGGUUCAAGCAACUCUCCUGCCUUAGCCUCCUGAGUAGCUGGGAUUACAGGAGUGCGCUACCAUGCCUGGCUAAUUUUUGUAUUUUUAGUAAGACAUGGUCUCUCCAUGUUGGCCAGGCUGGUCCUGAACUCCUGACCUCGUGAUCUACCUCUUUGGCCUCCCAAAGUGCUGGGAUUACAGGUGUGAGCCACUGUGCCCGGCCAGAUAACCUUUAAGAAUUCUUAGAAGCCCAGAAAUAAAGCCAAACCUAUAUGGUCAACUAAUUUUUGGCAAGAGUAACAAGAAGACACCUGGGAAAAGAACAGUAUCUUCAAUAAAUGGUACUGAGAAAACUUGAUUUCCACAGGUAAAAGAAUAAAAUUAGACUCUUACACCACAUGCAAAAAUCAACUCAAAAUGCAUGCAAGACCUAAGCAUAAGACUGGAAACAAUAAAACUCCUAGAAAAAAACACAGGAGAAAAGCUCCUUGACAUUGGCCUUGGCAAUGAUUAUUUUGCAUAUCAUAGCAAAAGCUGAGGCUACAAAAGUAAAAAUAAGUGAGACUGCAUCAAACUAAAAAGCUUCUGCACAGCAAAGGAAACAAUCACCACAAUGAAAAGGCAACCUACAGAUUGGGAAAAAAAUAUUUGCAAACCAUAUAUCUGGUAAGUUGUUAGUAUCCAAAGCUUACAAAGAACUCAUACAACUCAAUAACAAGAAAACAUAUAACCCAAUUUUUAAAAUGGACAAAGGACCUGAAUAGAUAUUUCUUCAAAGAAGACAUAAAAAUGGCCAACAGGUAUAUAAAAAUAAAACAUCAAAACCACUAUGAAAUGUCACCUCACAUCCAUGGAUAGCUAUUAUCAAAAAGACAAAAGAUAACUGUUGGCCAGAGUGUAGAGACAAGGGAACCCUUAUGUGCUGUUGGUGGGAGUGUAGUUUGGUGCAGCCAUUAUGGAGAACAAUAUGGAGGUUCCCAAAGAAAUUAAAAAUAGAACCACCGUAGGAUCCAGCAAUCUCAGUUUAUACCCAAAGGAAAUGAAAUCACCACCUUGUAGGCUGGGUGGAGUGGCUCACGCCUGUAAUCCCAGCACUUUGGGAGGCCGAGGCAGACAGAUCACCUGAGGUUGGGAGUUAGAGAACACCCUAACCAACAUGGAGAAACCCCGUCUCUACUAAAAAUACAAAAUUAGCCGGGCAUGGUGGGUAAUCCCAGCUACUCUGGAGGCUGAGGCAGGAGAAUCGCUUGAACCCGGGAGGCGGGCCGAGAUGGUGCCAUUGCACUCUAGCCUGGGCAACAAGAGUGAAACUCCAUCUCAAAAAAAAAAAACAAAAAAAAAACAAAAACACCUUGUAAAGAUAUCUGAACUCCUAUGUUCUUUGUGACAUUAUUCACAAUAGCCAAGAUAUGGAAGCUACCUAGGUGCCCAUCAGUGGAUGAAUGGAUAAAGAAACUGUGGUGCAUCUAUACAAUAAUAUGUUAUUCAGCCUCAAAAAAGGAGGAGAUUCUGCCAUUUGCUACAAAAUGGAUGAAUCUGGGGGACAUUAUGCUAAGUGAAACUAGCCAUACACAGAAAGAAAAAUAUUAUAGGAUCUCACUUAUAUGUGGACUCUAAAGAAAAAAGUCAAAUUACAGUGAAAGAGAGUAAAACAGUGGUUACCAGAGGCAGGUAGAGGGGAGAACAGGGGAGAUGUAGGUCAAAGAAUGCAAGUAGCAAACAUGUAGGAUGAACAAGUCUGGAAAUCUAAUGUGCAACAUGAGUUAAUAAUAGUGUAUGGCAUUUGGGAUUUUUGCUAAAUGAAUAGAUUAUAGCUGCUCUUGCCACAAAAAGCGGGGGGUAACUGUGUGAUGAUGGAUAUGUUAAUUUGCCUCACUAUAGUAACCAUUUUACUGUUUAUAUGUAUCUCAUAACAUCAUGCUGUAUACACACAAAAUAACAUUUUUUAAAAAAAUACUUAGAAAAUAUGAGAAUAUUUAAAAUUAGGAUACAUCAAACAUCAUGAUUUUGCCACAAUUUGAUGAUUUUCAUUAAAAGAAAAAUUCAUGUAAUUUGUAACCAUUUUACUGUUUAUAUGUAUCUCAUAACAUCAUGCUGUAUACUUUAAAUACACAAAAUAACAUUUUUUAAAAAAAUACUUAGAAAAUAUGAGAAUAUUUAAAAUUAGGAUACAUCAAACAUCAUGGUUUUGCCACAAUUUGAUGAUUUUCAUUAAAAGAAAAAUUCAUGUAAUUUGUUCCCACGUGUUGUAUUUUAGGGUUGACAUAAUAGAACGCUAUCAAAAUUAGGAAGUUUCAUAAUGAUCCAUGUAUGUACAACUGCACUCGGGUACCCCUGUCUUCUCUCACCUCUGUAAGAGCAAUUUUGUUUGCAUCUCUCAAGACUCUGGAGACAUGUUUUACAAAAGCAGUUUGAAGUGAGUAUUCAUUCAUUUGGGUUUUCCUGGUGUGGCCCUUUCAGCUCUGCAGAAUGCCACAGCAAUGAGGAAACUGUUUGUUUCCAAGCAGGAGAUGCCAAUGUGAUGACAGACUUUUUGAAAGCAUGUAGCUGGUGGCUGUUAAAUCUGCAUUUCCUGCCAUGCAUAAUGGUCCAUAAGCUGCUGGAUGUGAGCAGAGAGUUGGUUAAUAAUCAAGCCUUCUUUUUCAUAGUGUUUAACAAUGCAAAGUGCUUUUAAAUAAUUAUUUUAGCUAAUCUUAACAAUAACCCUAUGAGAUCGGUAGGGAUAUCCUGGCAACAUAAGAACAUAUUAAACGUCAUUCUCAUAAGACAAAGGUCUAUUUUCCCCAGUUUAGAACCUAGGUACUCUCUGAUAAGUAGAAUGCACACUUAAAUUAUAUUAUUUUCAACAAAUGUCCAUUGAGCCCCACCUAUGGGCCAGUGGGCACUGCAAGAUGUUGGAGAGCUGCAGAUGAACAGAUGAACAAGACACAGCUGCUUUUCUCAACUCCGUCUCUCAGGAGAGAGACAUGAACACCACUAUCAUCAGAUGCUAAAAGUGCCAUAAUCAAUGUCUUCUGGGAAAAUGAGGGAGAGGAGAGAAGGUUUCAGAGAGCUGCAGAGGAUGUUUGUGCUGAUAGGAUUCUGUCUGGCAGUGAAGUGAAGGGAGGACAUUCCAGGGAAUGGGUGCAGCAUAUAAGGGGGCAGAGGCAUGGACUACAUGAUUUCUUCAGAGAAUGAGAGGGGAAGGAAGGAUGCAUUCGAUUAGCAGAUGGUGGAGAGCCUUGUUUGCUGUGCCAAAAGGCUUGAAUUAGUCCCACAAACCACGGAGGCAGUAAAGAGCAGAUCUAGUUAGGUGUGAAUCCAAAUUCCAAGAACUUGCUGACUUGGGGGAGUUGCUUAAUCAUCAUCUGUAAAAUAGGGGUUAUACUCAACCUUCUGGGUUAGUUUUGAUAAGCACUUUAUAAGCUGGUGUAUAUAAAGUGCUUGGCACAGUGCCUAGCACACAGUAAGUGUUGACUAUUAACUACUAUCCAGUAAUAUUUCCUAAUCUUUUUUGAAUCAGGUUCCUUUGAGAAUGAAUGAGUCCUCUCCUCAUAUACAGUAUUUUGUAUAUUAUUUAAGGGGAUUCACAUUAUCUCCUGAAACUGGAGUCCAAGAUAAGAGUCCUGCUGUGUCUUCUCAAAAUUUUUUUAACUUUAUUUUUUUUUAGAGCAGAUUUAGGUUCACAGCAAAAUUAAGAAGAUACAGAGAUUUACCUUAUAUUCCCCACCCCUAUUCAUGUAUAACUUCCCUGAUGAUAUCAACAUCCCUUACCAGAGUGGUACACUUGUUACAACUGAUGAACCCACAUUGAUGCAUCAUAAUAACCCCAAGUCCAUGGUUUACCUUAGGGUUUGUCCUUGGUGUUAUAUAUUCUAUGGGUUUAGACAAAUCCAUAAUGACACAUACCCAUCAUUAUAGUAUCAUACAGAGUAGUUUCACUGUCCUAAAACUCUGCGCUCUCAUCUGAAGUUUUCUUUCUUUCUUUCUUUCUUUCUUUCUCGCUUUCUUUCUUUCUCUCUCUCUCUCUCUUUCUAUCUUUCUUCCUCUCUUUUUUAGAGUCUCACUCUGUUGCCCAGGCUAGAGUGCAGUGGCGUGAUCUUGGCUCACUGUAACCUCCGUCUCCCAGGUUCAAGCGAUUCUCCUGCCUCAGCCUCCUGAGUAGCUGGGAUUACAGGAACCCACCAUCAUACCCAGCUAAUUUUUGUAUUUUUAGUAGAGACGGGAUUUCGCCACGUUGGCCAGGCUGGUCUUGAACUCCUGACCUCAGGUGAUCUGCCCACCUCGGCCUCCCAAAGUUCUGGGAUUACAGGUGUGAGCCACCACGCCUGACCUG